GCCAGGUGAGAAGGCAGGGAAGGACCUGUGAGGCCCUGUGCCAUGGAACACGGAGUGCUGGGGCCGGCCAGCUCCAGGGUAAGAUUCCGGUCCUGUGUGGUCCGUGUAAGCCCCACCUCUGUGCCGAGUGCGAUGUCUUCCGAGGAAUAUUGCAGCUGGCCUUCAUCCAGGCUUGGGCGUGAAGAUGGAAGUCAGAGUGCAGCAAGGCGGAGCUGGAGCAGAGGUCCUGGGCAGCAGGGAACGUGGGUGUGGCUCAAUCUUGGAGAGACGCCCUUUGGGCAGACAGGAAAGGAGAGACUGGGGGUCACCCCACAUGGUCCUGUGUUUUCCCCAAGAGUGAACCUCAGGCCAUUUCUCCUGCAGAAUUGGCAAUGUGGGGUUCAUCUGUCUGAGCGGGCAGCCUGGGGUGGGGCUCUCUCCCUGUAGACUCUCUCUAGACUCUCUGUUCUAGUCCUGGCUCUGCCACUUCCCAGCUGUGUGGCCUUGGGGAAGGAAUCUGACCUUUCUGGGUUUCCUCCUGUGAAAUGGAGAUAUGACCUCUGUAUGGUUGAGAGAUCAAAGUGAGACCUUGCUUCCAAUCCACACCCUCAACUCCUAGAUGGCCAGUUAUAAAUGUAACUGAGAUGAUAAACAGAAAGAACGCAAUAAGGGAGCUGGGAUAUGGCAACUGCUCAACAAAUGUUAAUUCCCUCCCAUGUGACUCAAAUUUCAAACACAGCUUGUUCCCAACUCCCCUCAAGUCGCUCCUCCACCCCACCCACGACCUCACACUUGCACCAUCGGCACUUCCUUUAUCAGGGUGUGGUACCAAGGGCUGCCCAGCCCAGAGACUGGAGUCAUCUUCUCCUUUUGCCCUAUGUCUCCUGGCUUCCCAAGUCCCAUCUACUCUGUCUCUAGCUCAUAUCAGUCUUUCUCAGCAUUAGCGCUAACACCAUCUCAACCAUGGUGGCGGCAAAGACUUAAAGACUUCUAACUGAGCUCCAUGACUCCAUUCCCUUUCUGGCUGCAAUCUGUCUUCCAUGCACCUGAUUAAAGUACAAAGCUAGGGAAUUCCCUGGUGGCCCACUGGCUAAGACCCUGUGCUCCCAAUGCAGGGGGCCGGGGGGUUCGAUCCCUGGUCAGGGAACUAGAUUCCACUGCAACUAAGAGUUUGCAUGCCUCUACUAAAGAACUCACGUGCCACAACUAAAAACCUGGUGCAGACAAGUCCAUAAAUAAAUAUUUAAAAAAAUAAAACACAAAGUUAGCAUGUCGUGCCUACUGCAACAGCUUCGCCCCGCCCCCCACCACCUGUGGGUAAUACACGAGCACACUAGCCUAAAGGUCUCAUGUCAGGCUUGUCCAGGUCCCAUAGUGCUUUCAUGCCUGAAGUCUUUGCCCACGCUCUUCCUCUGCCUAGCACAUUUCCCUCCUCUCAUUCUCAUGAUUAACCCUUAUUUUUCCAUGAAGGCACAGCUCAAGUGUCACAGCCUUCAGAGAGACUUUUGUGACCUAUUCCUUCCCCAUAGCUUGGGUUAGGAGCUGCACC
ensembl:lncRNA